rnacentral:rRNA from 1 species
GACGAACGCUGGCGGCGUGCUUAACACAUGCAAGUCGAGCGGAGCGGCGAACGGGUGAGUCACGCGUGAGUAACUGCCCCCCUCUCUGGGAUACCAGUUGGAAACGGCUGCUAAUACCGGAUCGUGGGGGAUGCCUAGCGUCAUAUCCGCUUGUUGGUGGGGGAGUUGCCUACCAAGGCGACGAAGGGUAGCCGGCCUGAGAGGGAGACCGGCCACAUUGGGCUGAGAUACGGCGCAAACUCCUACGUGAGGCAGCAGGGGGGAAUAUUGCACAAUGGGGGAAACCCUGAUGCAGCAACGCCGCGUGCGGGAGGACGGCGUGCGGGUUGUAAACCGCUUUCAGCCAUGACGCGGUAGUGGCAGAAGAAGCACCGGCUAACUACGUGCCAGCAGCCGCGGUAAUAC